GAAAGGAGAGCUAGAUUCAGACUUCCUGUCAGAAAUAUAAGACAGACCAACUCAAAGACUACUAAUCCAAAGUCUUUCUCCAAUCUGAGUGUAUCCAAGUUCACUAAGAGCCUCAAUGGGACUCUAGGCAGUGUUCACACCCAAAUUGUAUCACCGGAAAAGGGACAUAUAUAGUGUACAAGGGUCAGCUCACAAGUGUCCAAGUUCAUAAGGAGCUCAAAGGGUCCUAGGUCAAGGCUCAGAAGAGGGGGCAGAACAUAAUGUCUAGAGAGAGUGCAAGUGAAGAAGAGAAUUCUAAGGAAUAAAUGAGAGGGAAACAACUAUAAACAGGUACACAAAGGGGUUCAGGGGAGUAGGGGAAUUGCGAAAAGCCUAUUGCUUAGUCUAGAUCAAUCGUUAGGCAUGCGCAGCAAUGGAGGAUGAUGGCAUGCCUAUAGGUCUGCUAGGAGACACAUUAUUAGAGGAUAGGUCCCAGGUGCUCAAUUUUAAGUUACAGACAAUAAUUUGUAGUACUUUCAUGCCUCAAACAAUUGCAUAAACACAUAAGGGGGGGUUUGGAAUAAUAAUAGAUUUAGAAUAGGCAGAAGGAAAAUACAGCAUGCUAAAGUAAACAUUGAACUAUUCAUAAGCAGUAGGCAGACAUGCAAUUAAAGGUAGUAAAUGAACACAUUGUUGUGGUUGCUAAAAACCUUAAUCAAGACAUACCAGUUUCAAAUAAGUAAAAUACAGCAGUAGCAGUACUUAAAAAAACAUACCACAACACAAGUAACAAGAGAGAAUGCUUUUGGAAUGUGGGUGUGUGUUCAGAAAACUUAGAGCGUUUAUGUGUUUGUUUCAGUAAAGAAGCAGGUAUUUAUAGUGUGAAGACAUGCUGAAAAUAAGGCAAGAAAAUUACCAUGUGCCAAUUAAAAUCAAUCAGUAGAAGAACUUCCUUUAAAUAAGGAGUUCAAACUUAAACGGUAAUAAACAUAAAUAAUUUAAGGAAAUAGAUCGAGUAAGCAUCUAGUGCAAAGUAGGCAAUUAGGGAUAAAUACAUAGGAGUUUAAUUAAGGGAAGAAUUUUUGAAAUACACGGUUAAGAAAAUAAGGUAAGUAACACAAUAAAAUCAAUCGGUACAUAGUAAAUCAAGGAGUCAUGAAUUCGAAAUCACUGGUUCAUGAGUAAACCAAGUCAGAAAGACUAAGGAAAGUUUUCGAAUCAAACUAAGUAACAGGGAAAUUAGCAAACAAGGAAAGAAUCAAUCAAACUUACACAAAGGGGG
rnacentral:lncRNA from 1 species